UAUGCCCAUAUCACAUUGAAACACCAGUUCUUGUCUGAUCCCUAAAGUUAAACAACAUUGAGCAGGGUCAGUACUUAGACAGGUGACAGCUUGGGAAUACCAGGUACGGU